UUCACUUUGUCUCUUGACCCUCAUCUCAGUUGUUCUGCUACACCAGACCAGAGAGAGAGAAGUUGAAGGAUGUUCAGGUUGUGUCUUGUCCUGGUUCUCAUCCAAGCCUGUAAGUUCGUCUCAUUAUAUGAUCUGUGUUAUUGUAGUUUAACAACUUAAAAUAAUUUUGGUAAACCAAGGAUUCUAAUAUUUCAUACUCCUGAAUCAAUGUUCAACCAUGUUUGAUUCACACACACAGGAAAGCCAAACACUGUACACCACACCCAACCAGGAUUUAUGAUUAAUGUAAUUAAAGUAAGUAAAUGUUUGAGUAAUCUUCUCUGUAUUUUAUUUAUAGUGGACACGGAGGACAUUAGCCAUCCAAGUCCUCUUCUGCACGCUCAUCUUGGAGACAAUGUGAUUCUGCAAUGCUUCUAUCCGGACAGAAAUUCUUAUAUCUCAUGGUACAAGCUAGCAGUAGGACAGAAGCCUCAACUUGUAUCAACAAUUUACAAAUAUGAUGGUCGUGCAAAAUUUCACACUGAGUUUAAAGAUAACCCUCGGUUCACAGUGCAAAGUGGAAAUGGAUUUUUUCAUCUACACAUCUCCAACACUCAGCCAUCUGACUCCGCCACAUAUGUCUGUGGGGGAAUUAAUGUUAAUGUGAUGGAAUUCAAAAACGGGAUAAUUCUCAUUCUGAAAGGAUCAAGCAAAACUGUUGUACAGCAACCUGUGUCUGAGUCAGUCCAGCCUGGAGACUCUGUGACUCUGAACUGUACAAUACACACUGAGACCUGUGCAGGAGAACACAGUGUCUAUUGGUUCAGACAUGGCUCAGGAGAAUCACCUCCAGAAAUAAUUUACACCAAUGGAGACAGGAGAGACCAGUGUGAGAAGAGCCCUGAGGCUGGGUCUCAUACACAGAGCUGUGUCUACAACCUCCCCAAGAGUAACCUCAGCCUCUCUGAUGCUGGGACUUACUACUGUGCUGUGGCCUCAUGUGGAGAAAUACUAUUUGGGAAUGGGACCAAGCUGGACAUUGACCGCAAGUGAUAUUUCUGACAUUUCUGAAAAUGUCUAACAUUUCUUCAUACUGCUAUGAAUAAAUGAUAUGCCUGGAUGAACAAAAUGUCCUGAAUCUCCUCUAUCAAUGUCUGUUUUUCUACAGAUGGUUGUAAGGAGCACCAGGUUCUCUUGGUGUACUGCCUGGGUGUAGCGUUGUCUAUUUGUGUCAUCCUCAUCAUUGUCCUUGGUUGUGUUUUGUAUAAGAUGACCAAGAAAACCUCUCUGCUGUGCGGAGAAACGCACACUCAGUCAAGUGGUCCGGCAGUCCCCGGUUCUCAUAACCAGGAUCGAGAAGAUGAUGACACACUCACAUCGGUCCAUUACGCUGCUUUGAAUGUCAUCCACAAGAAGCCAAAGACCCAGAGACAGAGGAGCACCAUGGAGAGAGACACUGUGUACUCUGGGCUGAGGUGCCAAAACAUGGACUGAAACAUCAACUUUUGCUCUUUAAUAACAACUCGCACCGAUUUUGUGAUUUCUACACUGUAUGUGUAACUAUGGCUUUUCAUUGUGUGUUAAAAUUGUAUUCUGUCAAUCUCCUUUUAUUAACAAUGAUACUGUUGUGCAUUUUAGAUCCAAUUAAACAUUAAACUGAUUUCAUAUAGA